rnacentral:tRNA from 1 species
AUUUAUAUAAUAUAUUUAGUAUAUUUGACUUCCAAUCAAAAUGUUUAAGUUUCCUUAAUAUAAUUA